AACGAACGCUGGCGGCAUGCCUAACACAUGCAAGUCGAACGAGAUCCUUCGGGGUCUAGUGGCGCACGGGUGCGUAACGCGUGGGAAUCUGCCCUUAGGUUCGGAAUAACAGUUAGAAAUGACUGCUAAUACCGGAUGAUGACGUUAAGUCCAAAGAUUUAUCGCCUGAGGAUGAGCCCGCGUAGGAUUAGCUAGUUGGUGUGGUAAAGGCGCACCAAGGCGACGAUCCUUAGCUGGUCUGAGAGGAUGAUCAGCCACACUGGGACUGAGACACGGCCCAGACUCCUACGGGAGGCAGCAGUGGGGAAUAUUGGACAAUGGGCGCAAGCCUGAGCCAGCAAUGCCGCGUGAGUGAUGAAGGCCUUAGGGUUGUAAAGCUCUUUUACCCGGGAUGAUAAUGACAGUACCGGGAGAAUAAGCCCCGGCUAACUCCGUG
rnacentral:rRNA from 1 species